rnacentral:rRNA from 1 species
UACGUAGGCAGCGAGCGUUGUUCGGAAUUACUGGGCGUAAAGAGUGUGUAGGCGGUGCUCUAAGUUCGGUGUGAAAUCUCCUGGCUCAACUGGGAGGGUGCGCCGGAAACUGGAGUGCUUGAGCGUGGGAGAGGAAGCGGAAUUCCUGGUGUAGCGGUGAAAUGCGUAGAUAUCAGGAAGAACACCCGUGGCGAAGGCGGCUCUCUGGAACGCAAACU